CGCGGGGCGGCCCGGGCGGGCGGGGGGCGGGGGCCACGCGGAGGGCGCGGCCGGGCCCGGGUCCCCGGGUCCCCGCGGGGGGGUCGCGAGCGCCCGGGGACGGCCGGGAGGCGGCCGGCGGCGCUCGGGGCGAGACGGAUGCUCCGGAGCCGGCAGCGGCUCCCUCCCGCAUCCUCCCGGGGGCCCGGGCGCCGAGGGCGCUGCUCCGCGUCCGCCCGGACCCCGGUGCCCGGCCCCAGCAACCCCGGGGACCCGCACCUGUGGGGCCCGCACGGCCCCGGGAAGCGCCCACCUGGCUGCCCUCGCGGCCCCUCCGCCGCCCCCGGCUCCCCGAGUCCUCCCCCGGGCGGCGGCAGCGCAGGUCGCCCGGCCCCAGCAUCCGCGGCCGCCGCAGGUGUGAGCGCCGCCGAACAAAGCCCACGCCCAGCCGCGCCCGCGGGGACCCGCCGCGCCGGCCCCGCACCUGCGCUCCCCGCCGCCCGGCACCGGGCGCGACCCCGCGGCCCUGCGCGCGCCGGGGAGCCCCGGGACCCCGCACGGCUCCUCCCGGGCAGCGCGGGGCAGAAGUUGGCCGCAGGCCGCCCGACACCGGGGCCGCCGCAGCUCCGCGAGCGCGUCAGGCCUGGGCGGAGGAAGGCAGCGGGCGCCGGGGCUCGCCCUGCGGCAGGGACGGCGGCGCGGCGCUGCCAGCCCGGGGGGGAGGGGGGCGGGGAGCGACAGCCCCCCCGCGCCCCCCGAGUCCCCGGAGCCCCCCGCGCACCCCGCGCCCCGCGCCCCGCGCCCCCCGCGCCCCCGCCGGCGCGCCCCGGGCUACUCACGUCCUCCGCCGCCGCGUCCGUCCCCGAGCGAGCCGCGCCUCCCGCCGGCCCGGGCUCCCCUGCGUCUGAGGCUCGGGCUGCGGCGCGCGCCCCCGCCGCUCCCGCCCCCGCGCCCGCCCGCGCCCGCCCCGCGCCCGCCCCGCGCCCCGCUCUCGCUCCGCGCCGCCCGCCUCGCCGGCCUCCCCCCGCCCCGCUCUCCGCCCGGCGUCCCCCGCCCUUCCCGGGCUGGCCCGGCCCCUCCCGGCCCUGCGGCGGCGGCGGCGGCGGCGGCGGCGAACGGGCUCGGGCCGCGGGCGCCUGGACCCCGGGUGGCCCGGACCCUGGAAGCCGCCGCCCCCGCGGGCCGGGAGGGCUGGGGGCAUCCCGGAGAAGUACUCGCAAGGUGGACAGGGAGUUGGGCUUGGCACGCGCGGAGCAUCUCAGCGCACGCGCCAUCCCCCCCCCCCCCCGCGGGACCGCGCCUCCCUCCCAGAGCUGCUCCCUCCCAGCCGCCCGCCGCGGACCCCUCCCCGCGGGCCCCCACUCGGCCUCGGCUCCGCGUGUCGUUCAGGAGAGCAGUCGCGGAGCCCGCCCGUCCGCUCCUCCCCCACCCCCAGGAGCCCCGCCCCCUCCCGCACCCCCGGGCUCCAGGCCCGGCGAGAGGCACGGGGGCGGCCUUCCAGGCCCUGCCCACUCCUCCGCGGGGCUCAAACUUCAGUUUGAACUUGCCACUUCGACCCCCCAGGUGAGCAGCCUUCUUUUCUUUCUCCUGCUGCCACCCUCUGCUCCUCCGGUCACCAGGUGUGCUCGCCACCCAGAACCUCCUGUUCCUGCGACCACAGUUCCUGCAACGGUAUUCUCACCUCUGGCCACUGGGUCUUUGCUCAGUCCCAUCCCUCGUCUGACCCUGGUCCUAAUCCCACCACCUGGGUACUUCUCACUUACCAGUGAAUUGUCCAAAUUUCCUUAG
rnacentral:lncRNA from 1 species